GGAGGAUCAUUAUCGUAGGGCUUCGGCCCUGUCGAGAUAGAACCCUUGCCUUUUUGAGUACCUUUCGUUUCCUCGGCAGGCUCGCCUGCCAAUGGGGACCACAAAAAACACUUUGCAGUACCUGUAACAGUCUGAACAAACAAAACAAAAAUUAAAACUUUCAACAACGGAUCUCUUGGUUCUGGCAUCGAUGAAGAACGCAGCGAAAUGCGAUAAGUAGUGUGAAUUGCAGAAUUCAGUGAAUCAUCGAAUCUUUGAACGCAUAUUGCGCCCUUUGGUAUUCCUUAGGGCAUGCCUGUUCGAGCGUCAUUUAAACCUUCAAGCUAAGCUUGGUGUUGGGUGACUGUCCGCUUCACUGCGGACUCGCCUCAAAAUUAUUGGCGGCCGGUACAUUGGCUUCGAGCGCAGCAGAAACGCGAACUCGGGCCCGUCGUAUUGGCUCCCAGAAGCUAUCUUCACAAUUUUGACCUCGGAUCAGGUAGGGAUACCCGCUGAACUUAAGCAUAUCAAUAAGCGGAGGA
rnacentral:rRNA from 1 species